rnacentral:rRNA from 1 species
AGAGUUUGAUCCUGGCUCAGAAUCAACGCUGGCGCGCGCCUAACACAUGCAAGUCGAACGAGAAAGUCCGCAAGGAUGAGUACAGUGGCGUACGGGUGAGUAACACGUGGAUCAUCUACCUCUAGUGGGGAAUACCGUUGGGAAACCGACGACAAUACCGCAUAAUCUCGAGAGAGGAAAGCAGCAAUGCGCCGAAGGAG